CUAAUACCGCAUAUUAUCUGAGGAUGAAAGCGGGGGACUAAGCAGCAAUGUUUUGGCCUCGCGCCUUUUGGAGCGGCCGAUGUCAGAUUAGGUAGUUGGUGGGGUAAAGGCCUACCAAGCCGACGAUCUGUAGCUGGUCUGAGAGGACGACCAGCCACACUGGGACUGAGACACGGCCCAGACUCCUACGGGAGGCAGCAGUGGGGAAUUUUGGACAAUGGGCGCAAGCCUGAUCCAGCAAUGCCGCGUGCAGGAAGAAGGCCUUCGGGUUGUAAACUGCUUUUGUACGGAACGAAAAGGCUCUGGUUAAUACCUGGGGCUCAUGACGGUACCGUAAGAAUAAGCACCGGCUAACUACGUG
rnacentral:rRNA from 1 species